rnacentral:misc_RNA from 1 species
GAUGAAGAACGCAGCGAAAUGCGAUAAGUAGUGUGAAUUGCAGAAUUCAGUGAAUCAUCGAAUCUUUGAACGCAUCUUGCGCUCCUUGGUAUUCCGAGGAGCAUGCCUGUUUGAGUGUCAUUCAACUUGUCAACCACUUUGGAAGUUGUUUUUCAAUGUGGCUUGGAUGUGGGGGAUUUGCAGGCUUUUCUUCUGUCUGCUCUCCUGAAAUGCAUUAGUGGUGUCUUAAAGGGUUCACAACCACAGGUGUGAUAAAUUAUCUAUGCCUUUGGUAUGAACAGAACUGUGCUGCUUCUAAAUGAAAUGAGCCCUUGCAGGCUCUUUCUUUUGAUGAAUUUGACCUCAAAUCAGGUAGGACUACCCGCUGAACUUAAGCAUAUCAAUAAGCGGAGGA